UGUGUGAAGUUACACAGCUGUGUCUGUAGAGAUACCGCUUCUGUGGAAUCAGUUACUGUGAAUUACAUUUUUAUUACAUGUCUCUUAUUCGAAGAGUAGGAGGAUAUCUCUGCACUCUGGGAAACCCUGAUUUAUUAUUUACAAUAUCAUGUAGUCAUCAUCUGAAUGUAAUAGCAACAACAACAUCACCACUAAGUUACUCUCCCUAGUCCAUAUUUCCUGUUUGAUAGGCGUAAUGUUUUCUUGUUCUAUUUUAACAUCUGAUUAUUGUAACCUUAUUACUGGUUCAUACUUGGUCUCCCCAGCAAAAUAAAAUGUUAUUAGUCGCGUACACAUAUUUUCCAGAUUUUAUAGCAGGUGCAGCGAACGUUUACAGUUUAAGUCGGAAGUUUACAUGCACUUAGGUUGGAGUCAUUAAAACUCGUUUUUCAACCACUCCACAAAUUUCUUGUUUACAAACUAUAGUUUUGGCAAGUUGGUUAGGACAUCUACUUUGUGCAUGUCACAAGUCAUUUUUACAACAAUUGUUUACAGACAGAUUAUUUCACUUAUAAUUUACUGUAUCACAAUUCCAGUGGGUCAGAAGUUUACAUACACUAAGUUGACUGUGCCUUUAAACAGUUUGGAAAUUCCAGAAAAUGAUGUCAUGGCUUUAGAAGCUUCUGAUAGACUAAUUGACAUCAUUUGAGUCAAUUGGAGUUGUACCUGUGGAUGUAUUUUAAGGCCUACCUUCAAAUUUAGUGCCUCUUUGCUUGACAGCAUGGGAAAAUCAAAAGAAAUCAGCCAAGACCUCAGAAAUAAAAUUGUAGACAUCCACAAGUCUGGUUCAUCCUUGGGAUGAAGACUACGGUUUGCAACUGCACAUGGGGACAAAGAUUGUACUUUUUGGAGAAAUGUCCUUUGGUCUGAUGAAACAAAAAUAGAACUGUUCGGCCAUAAUGACCAUCGUUAUGUUUGGAGGAAAAAGGGGGAUACUUGUAAGUCGAAGAACACCAUCCCAACCGUGAAGCACGGGGGUGGCAGCAUCAUGUUGUGGGGGUGCUUUGCUGCAGGAGGGACUGGUGCACUUCACAGAAUAGAUGGCAUCAUGAAGUCGGAAAAUUAUGUGGAUAUAUUGAAGCAACAUCUCAAGACAUCAGUCAGGAAGUUAAAGCUUGGUCGCAAAUGGGUCUUUCAAAUGGACAAUGACCCCAAGCAUACUUCCAAAGUUGUG
rnacentral:lncRNA from 1 species